CCGCGCUGCCGGGGCUGUCGGGACAGAGAGGAGCUGCUGGCACCGACCCGGAGCUGCUGGCACCGAUCCGGAGCUGCUGGCACCGAUCCGGAGCUGCUGGCACCGAUCCGCAGCAGGCUGCCCCACAGGCCAGCACAGCCGAAACGCAGCUCUCGGUUCUGAGGGAGGGCUGGCCGCGGGUGUCCCGGCAAAGGCCGGGCCUGUGCCCCUCCUUUGAGCGCGGUCUCCCUCUGCUGUCCUGCCGCAGCUCUGCGCUGGGGACAAGCAAGGUGACCUCUGAGGGGCAGCCCAACUACAGGACUUGCACAAACACCUUGAAAAAAAAUUUUUGCUUGAUGCUGUUUAGUUUCACAAGGAAGACUUUAAUGUCUGGAAAUAUCAGUCCCGAGCGCUGGAGGCUUCACGGUGGAAAAUAAAUAAAUAAAGAACAGCUGGGAAAUGCAUUUUCUCCUUACGGAGCUGCCCAAUCGGGUUUCCAUUACCAGUAAAAAGUAAUAACCAGUAACAGCUUCUUCUCUGAGAGAAGUAACAUGAAUUUCUAAGCAGCAGCAAUGAUUCUCUGAAGAAAGUGGAAUAUGAAAAAUGUUCACAUCUUUUACCUUUAGAUGGGAGGAAAACAUGGAGCUAACAUCUCACUGAGGCUGGGGAAGUCCUUGCACAUCCCUGUAUCCACAUGCAAGGUAUCAGGAUUCUGAAGAUAGCCCAUGAGACAGCAUAUGAUCAGCCUCUCCAACAGCCUCUUGUUUGCAGACCAGCAGAACUUCUCAGCCAGUCUCAGUUCUGAAAGGACUGCCAAGUUCACAGAAGAAUCAAUAGCCAAGGAUAUUCACAUAGGAUAAGAUUUACAAAGCAUGUUUCACAGACAGUAACAACUGGGACCUCGGAGCACUUACUGGAACCAACAAAAUGACAACUGAUAUGUCCUCCAGUGAAUCUAUGUUAAGACGUUCUGUCUGCAGUAAUUAAAAACUAGGUAAUGUCACCUGUGUGAAAAGCCCACCAUAAAAUCAGCUCCACUUAGGAGUGUAACUUGACAUGUUGACUUUUUCCAUCAGCAGCUCUGUCCUCUAAGCCAGCCUCUGGCCCUGCUAUGCUGAGUAGCACCUUCCUUAACUCAUAUCAACUCUUAUGAUCCCUCUUAUUUUUCCUAUCAUCUCCUUCCUUCAGUAUUAUGUGUGGGAUGGUCUGGUAAUUCACUCAUUACACCUGAGCAAAUUACCCCUCAAUGAACACACAAAAUAUUUUUUCACUGUUAUUUUUUUCAUAUAUAGAUUUAGGAGUAAUUACAUCUCCCUUUCAGUUCUUUGAGCUUAUUUAAGGAAAGUGAUCUCGUGCCAGUAACACACCCAAGUUUUCUGUUAUGUACUUUUAGCUGUGCUAGAUAUCACUAAGCACAAGGAUUCCCUGGGUAUUCAUAGUGUACAGUAUAAAUUAAAUUGAUUCUACUUCUUCUUAUACUCCAGGAACACCUAAACUUCUAACAAAAUCAGAACACACAUUCACAUACAGCCUGAAACAAGUCUUUUUCAUGCUUUUUCAUACACAUAUGUGUACUGACUUCAUGCAGCAACUUUUAUGCAGAGAAAUAAUGAAGGGAAAAAAAGGAACUAACCUUAUCAUAGGUUAUUGCAUGGAAGUAUUAUAAAUAUUUUUAAUUGCUUGGCUCUCUUCCUUCUCUAUCAUAUUUCCCUCAGGUCUCUGUUCCAUGCUCAAGGCCAUUAUUUGAUGGGGGAGGUAUAAAGUCAUAACAGGCUGAUGUAAAUUUCCUUUGAGGUGCCUUAUAUAUCACAGAUUCCACGAGGGAGAUGAAACAGCAUUUUGUUCCUGCUCAUAAGUAAGGGGUGGAAGAAAUGCUUCUUGUGAAGAGAACUAAACUCAUGCCUAUUUUCUAAUUGAGGCUGGUAUAGUAUAUUAGUCUUCAGGUAAAUCUCUGAUAACACUUAUUGCCUUUUGCAGGUAGAUCUUUGAUAACACUUAUUGCCUUUUCCAAGACCCCUUCUGUAAGGAUGGCUUGUAAUUCUGAGGAGGAAAUGAACAACUCCAAAACUGAGGGAGAUAAAGAAGAUGUCAGUGUCAAGAGUCUUAGACAUGGCCUGUCAGCUGAAUUUUAUGUUUCUGCUAAAUUAAAAUCAGAAACUCAUUACAGAAAAUGAAACAAGAAGGUAGUUCAGGCAGUCACUUUUUAAGAUCACCAUCAGCCUCUGGACAGUUGAGAAGCCUUUUGUCUAUCUACUGUAGACACCUGGGUUGCUGGCUUGUAAAGAUGCAGAUCUACUACUCUUGACAGGGUUGGUGUCAGGACUUUCCUGAGCAUGCCAACAAAGCCACUUAUUUACCUUUAAAGCUUAAUUAAGCUAGGCAAAUGAUGAUAAAAAUCUAGGGAGAAUACUCACUCCACAAAUAUUUUAAUGGCUUCACCCAGGGAAACAAGAUAACACUUAGGUGUGCACAUUCCAUGUCCAGUAUCCAUGUCAUUUUCACAUGCUGCCUUUAGAAAUCACCUAUUAUUUAAGAUGCCAGAUGACCUUUUAAUAAAACACCACUGAAGUGACAUUUUAAAAUAUUUUCAGUUUAACCACUGUCCCUCGCUCUUGCCCAGAAACACAUUUUUGCAAUUCAACUGGCAACCUGAUUUUUUCCUUGCAAGGAAUUUCACCAUUCACAUGAGCAACAAAACAGAACCUGUGCAGAUGCCAGUUUUUACAAGUCUAUUGUAGACAAGGGAGGCACAGCAGUUCUUUACAUCACUUGAAGUUCUAUUCCAGAAAGUAUUCAGGCUUUGAUUCCCUUGCAAUUGUCACAAUUAUGUUCUCAGAUGAGCCAGUUCAAUUAAAUAAACUGGAAGGUGUAAAUGGCACUGGUUUUCCUUUAAAACUGGGUGAUGAAUGGCACUUUUGCUACAUCAAUAAAUGACAUUAAAAUCAUAAAGCAGAGCUUAAAAGGAAGAGAAUUUGCUGAAAUCCAGCUCUUGUUCACAUGUGGACAAGAAGCUGCUUUUACACACAGGUUUUGGUCGCAGCAGUUUAAUCAGUAAGGCAACAAUAUCUUUGCUCAACUAAAGCUAUCUUACUUCUGAUGGGAAGGAUUGUUACCUAUUCAACACACAUAGAAAUAAUCACAGUAUUUUGCCAUCAAAAUCAGUGGCAACACUUUAUAAGCAGAAUAAAACUAAGGAUGAGAAUGGAUUUCAAAAUCUAAGUGGGUAGUAUCAGCUGAAAAGUAAGAGGGAUAGGAACUAAGUCACUUAAAAUAGAGAGAACAUCAGGGAUUGAUGAGGAAUGAGUUGAAGAGCCAGGAAAGUGUCUCUAGCAGAAGUUGGCAAAAGUGAUAAUUGAAGUCAAGAAGAUAAAAUAUAGAUGUAUGUUUCCUGGAGAUUGGGUUUCCCAGAAUUUUGUGUGCUAUUGAUUUUUUGUUCACUUAAGUGACAUAUUUGGUUUUCAAAACUGCU